rnacentral:ncRNA from 1 species
AGUCGUAACAAGGUUUCCGUAGCAUAAGUUAGGAACGUGAUUUUUCCACAGGUUAAAACUUAUAGAAGCCUUAGUAGCCCAGAGAUGGGAGGCCACCCGACUAAAAAGAAAGUGGCCGCUUGCUAGUUGACAUGAAGAAUGUCAGCGACACGACCGGACUGACGGGAACACCUAUAAUAUUUUCACGGCAUUAUAGGCAACCUACAGCGAACCCUUCUGAGCCUCGAUGCUAAUUGGGAACGCCUACAGACUAAAUGGUUGUGGGUAGAUCAUUCUAUAGGAUGUUCUAUUUGAGAUAUAGUCGGGCCUGAUGGUUACUCAUCAGGGUGUAUUAUGAAUUUCAUAGACACGAUAACCGUUCCGUAGGUGAACCUGCGGAAGGAUCAUUAUAGAGAACAUGCCCCCUGGGGUACAUCUCCAAACCUAUGCCUACCUACCCAAGUUGCUUCUGGCAGGCCUAGCCAUCACCAGCUAGUGCCUGCCAAAAGACCCUAAACUCAUAUUCAUUGUCGUCAGAGUAUCAUAAAAUAGUGAAAACUUUCAGCAACGGAUCUCUUGGUUCUGGCAUCGAUGAAGAACGCAGCGAAAUGCGAUAAGUAAUGUGAAUUGCAGAAUUCAGUGAAUCAUCGAAUCUUUGAACGCACAUUGCACCCCUUGGUAUUCUGGGGGGUAUGCCUGUUCGAGCGUCAUUACAACCCCUCAAGCGCUGCUUGAUGUUGGGCCUCAUCAAUCUGGUAGGCCUUAAAAGCAGUGGAGCGGAUCCAUUUAGCUUCCAGCGUAGUAAUACCCUCGCUGUGGAUGCGAGAUGCGACACCGCCAGUANCACUAAAUAUCAAGGUUGACCUCGGAUCAGGUAGGAAUACCCGCUGAACUUAAGCAUAUCAAUAAGCGGAGGAAAAGAAACCAACAGGGAUUGCCUCAGUAACGGCGAGUGAAGCGGCAACAGCUCAAAUUUGAAAUCUGGCCCCUAGGCCCGAGUUGUAAUUUGUAGAGGAUGCUUCGGGCAUGGUCUGGUCUAAGUUCCUUGGAAUAGGGCGUCAUAGAGGGUGAGAACCCCGUAUGCGACCGGGUACCUAAGUCCAUGUGAAGCUCCUUCAACGAGUCGAGUUGUUUGGGAAUGCAGCUCUAAAUGGGUGGUAAAUUUCAUCUAAAGCUAAAUAUUGGCCAGAGACCGAUAGCGCACAAGUAGAGUGAUCGAAAGAUGAAAAGCACUUUGGAAAGAGAGUUAAACAGUACGUGAAAUUGUUGAAAGGGAAGCGCUUGUAACCAGACUUGCAUUUAGUUGAUCAUCCGACGUUUACGCCGGUGCACUCAACUAAAUUCAGGCCAGCAUCGGUUUCGGUGGUUAGAUAAAGGCCCUAGGAAUGUAGCUUCCCCCGGGGAGUGUUAUAGCCUAGGGUGCAAUGUAGCCUAUCGAGACCGAGGACCGCGCUCUGGCUAGGAUGCUGGCGUAAUGGUUAUAAGCGACC